rnacentral:rRNA from 1 species
GAUGAACGCUGGCGGCGUGCCUAACACAUGCAAGUCGAGCGGACCAAUGCCCAUUUCAGCUUUGCUGAUUUGAGCAACGGUUAGCGGCGGACGGGUGAGUAACGCGUGGGCAACCUGCCCUGUGCAGGGGGAUAACACAGCGAAAGCUGUGCUAAUACCCCAUAAGACUACGCUAUCGCAUGAUAGAGUAGUCAAAGCUUUAGCGGCACAGGAUGGGCCCGCGUCUGAUUAGCUAGUUGGUGGGGUAACGGCCUACCAAGGCGACGAUCAGUAGCCGACCUGAGAGGGUGAUCGGCCACACUGGAACUGAGACACGGUCCAGACUCCUACGGGAGGCAGCAGUGGGGAAUAUUGCACAAUGGGGGAAACCCUGAUGCAGCAACGCCGCGUGAGCGAAGAAGGCCUUCGGGUCGUAAAGCUCUGUCCUAAGGGAAGAAGCAUGACGGUACCUUAGGAGGAAGCCCCGGCUAACUACGUGCCAGCAGCCGCGGUAAUACGUAGGGGGCGAGCGUUAUCCGGAAUCACUGGGCGUAAAGGGUGCGUAGGCGGCCGAGUAAGCCAGGGGUGAAAGGCUACGGCUUAACCGUAGUAAGCCUUUGGAACUACUUGGCUUGAGUGCAGGAGAGGAGAGUGGAAUUCCUAGUGUAGCGGUGAAAUGCGUAGAUAUUAGGAGGAACACCAGUGGCGAAGGCGACUCUCUGGACUGUAACUGACGCUGAGGCACGAAAGCGUGGGGAGCAAACAGGAUUAGAUACCCUGGUAGUCCACGCCGUAAACGAUGAGUGCUAGGUGUCGGGGGUUCACACCCUCGGUGCCGGAGUUAACGCAAUAAGCACUCCGCCUGGGGAGU